rnacentral:rRNA from 2 species
CAAUGUAACUCAUACCAGCAUUAAUGCACCGGAUCGUAUCAGAACUCUGCAAUUAAGUGUGCUUGGGCGAGAGUAAUAUUAGAACGGGUAACCUCGUGGAAAGUCCUUGUGUUGCACCUU